rnacentral:snoRNA from 1 species
GCAUGUUUUACUUUCUGCAGCUUCUUAUCUCAAUGUCCCAUAUUGUUGUCAUGUACACAAGUCUGCUCAAGGUUCCUGUGUAUGUGUUGGGGAGUAGGUGUGUGCCUGUGUUUGUGUGUGCAUGCCUGCAUG